rnacentral:lncRNA from 13 species
AUGUUCCAUAGAGAGGACCAUCCAGUCUGCCACACUCAGAGGGAAAUUCCAACUGCUCUGGAUGAGUCACUUCCCCUCGAUUACCCUUCUUCAAAGGCCUCCCUCCUUGUGAAAUGUGAGGCUUUAUCAGGCUGCCUGACAAAUGCCUGGCCAGCGGGGAUCAGAGGCAAACGCCACUGCAGUUUGGCCCUGUUGUCAGAGCGAGUCACUGGCUGGGAAGAUGAAUCUGUCCUGGGCCUCAAAGCCAGGGCCGUAGCAGCCUCUCUUCUGGGCACCGAGAAGGCAGUGCUGAGCCCAGGGCUGCACUGGGAGAGACAAGGAGGGGCCCGAGUGUCUCAACCUUGGAAGAAACCUGGACCUCAGACUCAGUGCCCCUCCCAGCUCUGGCUGCAGGCUGUAGACACUUCAUUGUCUCCUGCUGAGCGACUGAGGACUUGGGAGGAAAUCCUGCUUAGAACUUCAAACCUCCAUUCCCAGAGCCGCAACCAGACACUGGAGGGGCAAAGAAGGUGGCAUCAGGAGAUCAUGAGGAGGGUCUCCCCGGGCAUGGAUGGACCUCCUGCCUGGAGGGGCUCAGUCCAGGAUUUCCCAAAAGCCAGCCCCAAGACCUGUGCUAAGCUUCUUACAUCCAAAUACUGGGAAAUAGAAAAUACAGAUCGCAGAUUCUGUAACGUGGGAUCUCUCUCUCCCUUCUCCUCACCUGUGCCUGCGUGCAUGUGUGGCUGUGUGGAUUGGGAGCCACUGAGACCCAGAGAUGGCAAAUGCUCUCAGCGGACAGCAUGUCCCCUGCCAGGGGCUUCAGAACAAUCAGACGGAUGGCCCGGACUUCAGCGAUACAAAUUCACUCUGAGGAGGCAGAGAGAUGUCAUUUGGCCAGACUGUGUGAUGCAUCGAACCUCUGCCCUAGGUGAGACUGUAAAGGUCAUCAAACCCAGCCACAUCAUCAUAGCUUCAUUCGACAGUCAUCGAAGACCUGCCUUGGGUGGUGAGGAUGGAGUGGUGAGCAAGACUCAAGACCUCUGAGGCAAGAGGGGAGCCCUGGUCAGAAUCCAGAGAACCUGGUCCCCAGCCUCAGCGUGACCCAAGGAAAGUUCCCGCAAUGGAUUCAGGUUUUGCAGGGCCGGAAGCUUAGACCAUUGAGGAGAACCUCUCUAAGGUAAACAAUACACACUUAUGAUUACAAAAUUAGGUACAGAUAUGAUUGUUAAUUUAGAAUGAUAAAAAGAAAUUGCAACAAGUUAUAAAUCUCAAAAAAACUGACCAAUGCCAUCAUGAAAUCCAGACAGAUACAUAAUAUUUGUAUUAACUAAAUGCCUGACACAACUCGAAAAUGCUUUCCAAAUUAAAAAAAAUUUUUUUUACAUUACUUCUGCUCACAGCUUUACAUGGGCUGGCUUCUGGCUCCAUGCAUUUCAACCCUUGUCUCUCCUGUGCCUACACACACCUCUGGUACAGACAUCUGAGGCCACAGUUAUACUGUGAUACAACUUCUGGCUCUGCAGCUUCAUGUUGCAAAGCGUG